rnacentral:rRNA from 1 species
AUUGAACGCUGGCGGCAUGCCUAACACAUGCAAGUCGAACGGCAGCACGGGAGCUUGUUCCUGGUGCCGAGUGCGGGUGGCGGGCGUGUUACAUCUGAAUAUGUCCCUUCUUUGGCGUGGGCGCGGCCGAAGGCGGAUUAAUACUGCAAACGAAUAACGCAUAAAAGUGGGGGCCGGUGGGGUUCCGCGCUUUCGCGUUGGCCGAUGGCGGAUUAGCUAGUUGGUGGGGUAAAGGCCUACCAAGGCGACGAUCAGUAGCUGGUCUGAGAGGACGAGCAGCCACACUGGAACUGAGACACGGCCCAGACUCCUACGGGAGGCAGCAGUGGGGAAUAUUGGACAAUGGGCGAAAGCCUGAUCCAGCAAUGCCGCGUGUGUGAAGAAGGCCUUCGGGUUGUAAAGCCCUUUUGUCCGGAAAGAAAACCUUGGCCCUAAUACGGUCGUGUGAUGACGGUACCGAAAGAAUAAGCACCGGCUAACUACGUG